UUCAGCUUUGGGUGCUGACGGUGGG
rnacentral:piRNA from 1 species